rnacentral:lncRNA from 1 species
CCAUGCAGAGAGAUAGGAGAGUUGAGCGGAUCAUAAGUCCAUGUCCAAAUAGGAAGAAUAGGACAGGGACCUCUAGCGCUCUAGGCUAAGGUUAUCUGGUUGGGAGUAACCGGCAGCUGGAUCAAGAAGACCACCAGAGCAGUGAGAGACGUCCCAAUCCGGUCUUCAUCACGCCCAGGUGCGCGCAGCCUUGUAGGACAUGCGUGCUUGUACUUCCUCCUACAUACUCACUCAAAUAAAAAGGUCCCUACACAAGACUGGAUAGCUGGUCAACUAUGGCACAUUUGAACUAUGCAUGGGUUGAUGAUGAUCACUUUUGUCCACGAGGUGCACUUCAAGAUCGAUGCAAGAGAGACUUUUUAUAAAUUAGCUUCAUCAUUAUAAAUAAGUUUAC